rnacentral:rRNA from 1 species
AACGAACGCUGGCGGCAUGCCUAACACAUGCAAGUCGAACGAGACCUUCGGGUCUAGUGGCGCACGGGUGCGUAACGCGUGGGAACCUGCCUCUAGGUUCGGAAUAACUCAGAGAAAUUUGAGCUAAUACCAGAUAAUGUCUUCGGACCAAAGAUUUAUCGCCUUUAGAUGGGCCCGCGUUGGAUUAGCUGGUUGGUGGGGUAAAGGCCUACCAAGGCGACGAUCCAUAGCUGGUCUGAGAGGAUGAUCAGCCACACUGGGACUGAGACACGGCCCAGACUCCUACGGGAGGCAGCAGUGGGGAAUAUUGGACAAUGGGCGAAAGCCUGAUCCAGCAAUGCCGCGUGAGUGAUGAAGGCCUUAGGGUUGUAAAGCUCUUUUACCCGAGAUGAUAAUGACAGUAUCGGGAGAAUAAGCUCCGGCUAACUCCGUGCCAGCCGCCGCCGUAA